rnacentral:rRNA from 2 species
UAAUACAUGCAAGUCGUACGCACUGGCCCAACUGAUUGAUGGUGCUUGCACCUGAUUGACGAUGGAUCACCAGUGAGUGGCGGACGGGUGAGUAACACGUAGGUAACCUGCCCCGGAGCGGGGGAUAACAUUUGGAAACAGAUGCUAAUACCGCAUAACAACAAAAGCCACAUGGCUUUUGUUUGAAAGAUGGCUUUGGCUAUCACUCUGGGAUGGACCUGCGGUGCAUUAGCUAGUUGGUAAGGUAACGGCUUACCAAGGCGAUGAUGCAUAGCCGAGUUGAGAGACUGAUCGGCCACAAUGGAACUGAGACACGGUCCAUACUCCUACGGGAGGCAGCAGUAGGGAAUCUUCCACAAUGGGCGCAAGCCUGAUGGAGCAACACCGCGUGAGUGAAGAAGGGUUUCGGGUCGUAAAGCUCUGUUGUUGGAGAAGAACGUGCGUGAGAGUAACUGUUCACGCAGUGACGGUAUCCAACCAGAAAGUCACGGCUAACUACGUGCCAGCAGCCGCGGUAAUAC